AGGACGAACGCUGGCGGCGUGCUUAACACAUGCAAGUCGAGCGGAAAGGCCUUUCGGGGUACUCGAGCGGCGAACGGGUGAGUAACACGUGAGUAAUCUGCCCAUCGCUUCAGGAUAGCCAUCGGAAACGGUGAUUAAUACUGGAUAUGACAUUCCUUCGCAUGUUGGGGUGUGGAAAGUUUUUUCGGCGGUGGAUGUGCUCGCGGCCUAUCAGCUUGUUGGUGGGGUAAUGGCCUACCAAGGCUUUGACGGGUAGCCGGCCUGAGAGGGUNA
rnacentral:rRNA from 1 species